rnacentral:lncRNA from 1 species
UUUUAUUUUCACUCUGAAAUUAAACCUGCUCGGAGGGUUCAAUCUAAAGCUACAGCUGGUGAGUGUUGCCAUUUAAUUCAAAUUAUUUGGCUUCUUAUGUGUGUAUGUAUAGCGUAAGUAUAUCCGCCAGGUUUUCUUUCAGAUUUGAAGGUUUAGGUUUUCAAUGUCAAGUUUAGAGAAGCGAGUGGGAAGACAGAUUUUUAGAGGUUCUGUGGGCACACGAACAUAUCGUCUUGUAGCAUUUCAAAAAUAUCUCUAAUAUUCCAUUUCUUUUUUUUUUAAUUACAUAGAUUUUUUUUUUGAAAAACGUGAAUUAAAAAAAAAAUAAUCAUGUUGGGUAUAGAUUAUCAGAACUUGUUUGAUUUAAAAAAAAAAAAAAAAAAAGGAGAGAAAGUAUAGUUAAAAUAUAUUGAAAAGUAAAGAAUUCAAGUACAAAAUUAUUUUAUCGUAAUAAUGUGUAAUUGUAAAUGAAUUUAAAGAAAAUUAAAUUUUAAAAUAUCUAUAUCAAAAUAGGGCUCAAUGUAGCAUUUCACAUUUUUUUUACCAUCUAGCUUCCAUUCUAUAUAAAGGUUUAGUAGGCCGAGCACGUGACUCAGUGUAGGGGCGAAGCUUAUAAACGAAAAUAGCUUCACCUGAUCAAUACAGAGUAUUGGAGAGACAUAGCUCAUGUUUCCUAUACUCCAUACCUGUUUCAAAGGAACAGUUUUCGUCUCGUUUACCCGAUUAGGCAAGUGAUUCCCCUCCCAUCCGCAGGUAUCAAAUUUAAAGAGAUUUUUUUUUUCUUCUCUCUUCUUUUCUGUUCUUUUUUUUUCUUCUUCUUUUGCCAUCCCUACCCUCAAGUCUCUUCUUGCCACACUUGGCUGCCCACCUCAUAAAACCACCUCAUAAAAUAACAUUGAUUUAAGAUUAUUAAUACAACUAAGUUGAUUAAUCUAGCCACCGUUUGGUCCUCAUUUUUUCCAAAUUUUAAUGUUUGGAAUAGUGUUGAAAAAUGUUUUGUUGAAAACAAAUGAAUUUUUUUUCGAUUUACGUGUAAUAUUAUUUUAUGAAAGAUUGUGUGGUUGAAAAUAAAAUAGAAGAAAAAAAUGAAAGAUAAUAAGAGCCACACGAGGGCCUAAUUGUUUUUUUCUAUCCACUCUCUUCCAUUGUUAACUCAAAACUUAAGAGUAGUAGAUACAAGUUCGAUCACUACAACACCUCCUCAGCCUUGUAGUAGAUCAAUAAUUUAAUUUUUCAUCAUAAUCAAUUCAAAAUUUAAAAUAUAUAAUGUAUACUCCCUCACAAAAUUCUUCUGAUAAAUUCGAAGUAUAUAUAUAUAAAACUAAAUUACAAGAAAAAAACUUAGAAUUUCCAAUUUGCUUCAGCAUCCUUAUUCUAUUUACUCACAACAGAAUCAUCCUACAUAAAAAAACAAAUGAAGUCAAAUCACACCUCGAUCAAAAAUUAUGUAUAACGAAAAAAACCCAGAAAACAACACACAAUCAUUGGGUCAUGAGAAGUACGAGUAAAGGCAUGGGGAUCUAAGAUGUCACGAGUGGAAUUGGAGGUGGAAUUGUCUGUAAACUCCACAACCCAUUUGCAGUCUGGUCUUGAGAAAUACUGGUGAAAUUAGAUAGGGUUUGAAAUUGCUUGGAUAUGUUUUGCAAAUUGUAAUUGAUUUGUGAAUUAUUGCAAAUAAAUAAUACAAACCAAAAGUAGCCUAAAGGCAGCAGAUUGGGCCUAAUUUUAAAAAUAAAAAAAAUGGCCCAAAAGAAUAGCCCACAAUUUAAAUGAAAAAAAAAACCCUACUGCCAUCCUGUGUGACUGCAUUUCAAGAUUCUUCCUCUCGACGACUAUAAAUUUCAAUUGCACUUCAAGUUUCUUUACAUGUCAGUAGAUGCUCUCUAUUUUGCUUCUUCCCUUCACAGUCCAGUGCACGCACACUGGAGUUUCUUAUUUCAAACUCAAAAUCCAAUGCGGACAAGUGCUCGAACUGGCAUCUAUGUUGCUCCACCCCUAACUCGGUGCAAGUUAUUUGAAAGGAUACUUUACAUUCUUGAACAUGUAUCGACACGAUCUGAGCGGAGGAAUGUGUAAUCUAUUAACACAUCAAAAUUGACACAAAUUGAAAUAAAAAAAUUUAGAAAGCCUUAUGAAUAAUUGGAAAGAAAAAUAGGUAAAAUAAUUCAUUGGGAGAAGUGCAGAUGGGCUAGACCUUUAAAAUUAUUGCAGACUAUACAAAACCUUUUUUAUCUUUAGAUGGUGGGUUACUAUAACUUUCAUCUCAAUUGCGGUUGGAUGAUAAAUGGAUCGAAUCCGUCCAUUUGAUUGUUGGUCAAGCCAAAAAAAAAAAAAAAAAAAAUUCAAAUUGAGCAUAUUAUGAUUAAUUUAAAAAGAACAAAAUUGUAAUUUAAUAUUUCUCCAAAUAAAAUAUUUGAAAAUUAAAUUGGAAAAAAAAUUGAGAACUCUUCAUCUUAAUCAACCUCCCCUCUCCUCCCCUCCCCACCAAUUCCAAACAAAAUAAAAAAUCAUCCAUCUCAGCCACUACCACCAUAGCCAAAAGCUCAUUGUACAAAGACUCCAAAAUUUUCACCGAGAUUUCCUCCAAUUGUUUGUUAUUCCGUGCAGUAGCCCCCACCCGCUUUCAAAUAACUACAGAAAUUUUUUCCAUAUGGUUUUUGAGGUUUGAUUACAGAUUUUAGAUGGGUUAAUUUUUCCCCUUUAUCAUUCAUGGUGGCGGUGGUUGUGGAUUGAUCGAAUUCGAGUAUUUCCUGCUGGUCCUGAUAUGCUUUUAUCUAACAGUACAACCAUUUAGAAAUUUUUCUUAAUUUAAUUUACCAAACUGGCAGGAAUAAGAACCCUAAAAUUGGGGGAAUACAAAAUUACAAUUUUUUUUCUUUUAAAAUUAAUCAAAGUGUGAUCAAGCUGAUUUUUUUGAUUGACUAACGAUCGAAUAAACUGAUUUAUUCUGCAGCUGAAAUCGAGAUGAAAGUUUUUGGAAAAGAGAGGAUGGCUGUCGAGGAGCCUUGUUGAUGAGAAAAAAGUCCACGAAUAACAAAAUAAUAAUUAAAAUAUUUUAAUAAUCAAUAAUCGAAAAAAUAUUUGCAGUAAAUAAAUAAUAAAAAUGACAUAUAAAUAAAUGCUAUUGAAGAAAAAAUCUAUCAAUAACUAAAUAAAUAAUUUUGUAGACCAUAAAUGUGAAAAUUGCAACUGGAUUGUAACACAGUACAAUCAUAUGAUCCAAUUCGAUCAACAAUGGAACUAUAGAUUCAAUGGUGAGUUGUAUGAAAUUAGGGCCAUAAGUAGGACAUCAAGAUGUUAUGAUUUCAUAAGGAUCGAACUUUAGGCCAAAGAGUACAGAAUCAUAUCUACGAUUGUAGGCAAACCUGUUUGAGGGCUAAAUUAUCCUUUCCUGUUUUCAAUUUUAAGUGGUUGUUCUGGUCCACUCACAUUUAUUUAGGAAAAAAUGAAUAUUAGCAGCUCAACACCUUUUUGGUACAUAAAAUAUGGAAAAGGAUCUCUAUUUCCACAUUGCAGAGAAUUGAACAGAUAUUUCUACCGGUUGUAGUUGAACUAGUUUUAUAUUUAGAUUUGCCUAUCAUUUAUUUUCAGUUUAGCGUUUACAAAUUUGAGGUUGCCCCCACAUCUUUAACGAGUGUUAAAGGUCCAAUCUACAUUAUGCACCUUGAGAAGACAUAACAGUAAUACUACCUGCAUAGCUCUUCCACCAUCAAGACAUCCGAUAGGUAGCAUAUUAAAAGCUGUCGUCGUUAACCCACACCUAAAAGCAAAGAGCUUAUCAGUAAGCAUAUUAAUAUUGAAAAGACAUAACAAAGCUACUCCCACAAUGAUGCUUCACCAGCCAGCAAUAACAAGGGGAUGAAUUGAAACUGUUGCGGCGUGCAUUGCCCUGUGAAUGUACAUAACAAAGAAUCAAAUCACUUCCAUUUAAGGAUUGAAAAGAAAUUAAAUAUGAGAUGAUUUCAAUAAAAAAUGAGUCGGUUUAAAAGCAAGACAUGACAACCAUAUGUACUAUGUACAUAUAGACAACAAACUUAAAUAACAAAUCUUUUCGUUCUAAAAUGGAAUGUGACUUCCAAAUUGAAGGAACACAGGGGAUGACUAGGAUAUCUACACUAUAUGACCAAAAUGAUAUAUAAAGUUAUUAAUCCCGAACAGCUUUGGGUUUUAUGGAAACAUGUUAGCACAGAUAAAUUACAAAGGCAAACUAGAGAACACUUACGUAUAACCAAGAGCAGCCCGACUAAUAAGUCCAAGAAGCAAAGAGCCUUGAAAAAGCAAACUAGGAACCUGAACUAAAUCUCCUGCCACUGCUGGAUUUGAUGAAAGUAGCAGGCCAAUGGUGAACAUAGAUAAAGACAAUGAAGCGCCCGCAAAUGGUCCGGACAAAGAAAUAUCUACUUUUGUUUUUCGAUCAGGCAGAAUGGACUUGAACUACAAAAGGAGGCAAAGGGGAAAAAAUGUAGAGAACAUUGUCAAUGAUUGAUGAAUAGUCAAAAACUUAAAUGCUAUAUAAAUUGCAGUGCAAAAUGUUUUAGAAAACUUAUUUAGGCAAAAAGGAAAAGAACAUGAAUGAAUUAGUAGUGGUACUUGGAUAGAAAAAAAUAUAUUUAAGGAUUUAUAAUGUUCUAGAAAUCAGUACAGAGGGAAACCAUGACAAGACCACUGGAAUAAAAUUAACAUUAGUUAUAUGGUUCGAGAAGGUACGUGUCUUCAUAAUACAGGAACAUAACUUUUCAGCUCUUCAUAUGGGGUUCAGCAUAGAAAUCGGAUGAAUAUGUUUAUCCUUACAUCUGAACAUGGACCAAAGAAUGCACUCAGUCCCUCUUUGAUGGAAUUCAUUUCAAAACUCAGUUUUCUAUAUACUCAAUUUCAACCAUAUAUUCACACAAUAAAAUAUUAUGCAAGUAAGCCCAAAACUUUUCCUUAUUUUUUAACCACAAAUUCUUAAAAAAUUCACUAUUCAAAACAUUGCUUUUGCCAAAUAAUGACCAUCACAGGGGCUCAAAAUUCACGGGAUACAAUUGUACAGUAGCAUCAUUCACCUAUAAGAAUAGCAGAAUGUUUCACUAGACAGAGUACCUAAGUGUAAUACAAAGCCAUUAGUAAAAAGCAGCUAAAAAGGCAAUGUUUCUUGCAAAGAAGAUAAACGGAAGAGGACUUUGAACUAGUAAUGAAAAUGCUGAUUUCUAAACCACGGAAAUAAAACCUAUUUUAAGCUAAGGAGUGCAAACAUUGUUUAAUCCAAUCUGUGUUGAUGCUGUGUUAUUGUUUGACAAACAUACAGAUGGUGUAUGAUGAGUUUUUUCUCUGGCAAGUACAUAACCAUCUUAAAUUCAGUUGCAAGUUUGCAAUAUGUAAACAAAAAUAACAUAAGGUGCAAAUUUGAGUCGUACAGCAACUAAACCAAAAAAAAAAAUGAAGACCAUCAUACAUCUCUAGAUAUCAAUAUAUCUGUCGAAUAACAGAGAAAGAAUUCUGAGACUCUAUACUCUAAAACAAUCUUAGGGAUAUGAAAUUCCACUCCAAUAUGCAUCUGUAUGUUGCAACCUGAGUUGUAGGCUAUCAUUCCAAUUGAGCUGAUCCAGAGUACUUGGCAGAUAGAUAAUCAGAUAAGACAAAAUAAAAUGAUAACUAAUUAUGAAGAUUUCAAGAAUACCAGCUUAUAUGAGAUCCAUUACUUCUAUAAGCCAGAUAAAGACGGGAUUAUAAUGGAAACAAAUAACUAUUUGGCGGGUCACAAAAAAAAAAAACAAAAAACAAAAAAAACUCUAUGCGUAACUUUGCUUCACCUGAGUAAUUGCUCCAAAGCUUCCAAGGGUAAUGUUUGGAAUAAAGAAAGGAAUGCUUAAUUUCACCUUCCUUGGAAAUGCAGCCAGAAAAUGUCCAACUUCCUGCAGUAAAUUAACUCCAUAUAGAAAUUAUAUCAAAAGGCAGAAUAUUAGAGAGCAUAAAACAUUCUCUCAUUUACUCGAAGCAAGCAGUUAAUAAAUAGAUAUAUGAGCAUUCUUAAAUUGAAAGUCUUUACGUGCAGAACAAGAGGUUAUAUCUGAUUGCAAGUUUCAUACAGCCAAAAAAGAAGCGAACUACAAAAACAUCAAGCCUUGGACAAUAAUUUCUGUUAUCUGACAUGGUUUUGUCUUAAAAGAUGUUCAAUUAGCUGGAACAAAAGAAAAUCCACUCACGUGAAAUAGCUGAACCCCCAAGACACCAUAGGCAAGGGGCAAAGCAGAGUCCACAAAUGGUAAUAGAAGCUGCAUAUCUGGUGGUUCAAUGGCAUUUGGAUCUGUGAAGUAUUUAACCACCUCUGGAGGAAGUCUAUUUAUCUGCUUAGUGAAAAAUUAUAAACUAAUUCAGGUAGUUUACAAUGGAAAUAUUCUUAAUGACCGAUAAUUAUAUAAACCAAGUUCACACAUGGCGGCAUCAACAGAUAUAUAUAUAUCUUGGGGGUAAUAAGAAUACCUGAGAUGCUAUUCCUAGCUCCACAGAGGAACCAAUGGUAAGAAGAAACAACAGAAGAGCAAUCACAUACUGCCAAAGAGUUGUUGGACCUGGUUCUGAGACCUCUUUCCGUAGCAUACCAAAGCUGACACGAGGACCACCACGUGGAUCUGGUCCUUCAGCAUUAGGUUCCUCCACCAUGAACAGGUUGUACUUAUCUCCCAUUAUUUCAGCUAGGUGACUUUGAAGUUUGGCAAAAACAUCUUCCCUCUUUGCCCUAAGAUUGCCAAGGAAAAGAAUGCCCUCUCCUAGAUCCCCAAACUGCUCUUCUUUGGUUACCCAAAAGGUAGAAUAGCCAAAAAGCUUUUCCUUAAUAGCCUUUACAUCAGCCGGAUCAACCUUUUCAGGCCCUAGAAGUUCCAUCAAUUUAAAAGAGUCUACUUGGAAAUUAUUAUGAGAUGAUCCAAUAGAAGAUAUAGUAGGAUUCUGAGAACACAAAAAAAAGAAAGAAAGAAAGAUCAGAGACAUCAUUUUAUCUUCCAAUUUCUGGCGCAAGUCACUGCUUUUCAAUAUAACUAUCAUUCAGGUCAAUUCAGUCCAAUAAAACUGAGUUAAAUGUUUCAAUGGCCACCGAACUUUGCACCAUGUCAUGGCUUAUUCACCGAACUUCCAAAAGCAUCCCACCAGUCACUAAACUUUACUCCAUCAUUGUCCAUUAUUCACCGGGUGGAUGCCGAUUGAAUUAAUGCUGACGUGAAGGAUGGAAUUAUGACAUGUCCCAUUAACUCCUUCCAAAUAAUUAGACUCCGGCCUACUCAACACCAUGUCAUCGCCACGUCAAAAAAUUACCCUCUUCCCCUCACUCACCCCCUCCACCUUACAAUCUCCACUCUAUAGUGACGGAGCCACCAUGUCAAUUGCAGCGACGCCAUUUCGUUUUUCACCACGCUUCUCUGCUCAAAAACCACCAUAUGGAGUCUCGGGUUCCAAAUUACAAUCCAAUCUUCUAACAAUUCAAGGAUUUAGGCAGAAUCUUUGGCAUGUGCCCCCAAAUUUAUACACCAACUCUUUCAAACAUCUUCCUUCAAUUCAAGGAGAAAAUCCUAUGCCUCGAAAUCAUGGGCAUGGACUCUGGUCAAGCAGUCUCCCAAAACCCGUCUUGGCACACCACUUUUUUGCAUUCCAUUAUCGAAAUUAUCACCUUCCUCCCAUCCAAACGCAUCCAUCAAAAGGAUUUAGGCAGAAUCUUUAGCAUGUGCCCCCAAAUUCUAAAAUCCAACAUUACAAUUGACCUUAACCAAGUUUUCAAUUUCCUAUCCUAUGAUUUAAAAGCCCGUAAAGAAAAUUCUAGAAAGGUGAUAAACAAACGUCCCAGAAUGUUAAUUUCCAGUGCAAGAGACCAGCAUAAACCUACUUUAUUCUACCCGGUUUUAAGGUGUCCCAGAUUGUUCACUCUCAGCAUGAGAACAAUUUCAAGCCUAAAUUUGAGUGUUUUGACAAGGAAAUAACGGCGACUUGGAUAAACUGAAGGAAUUUCCACAGUAUUGUGCAUUUAGUUUGGAAAGGAGGAUGAAGCCCUGGCCCAUGGAGAUUGUACAGUGUGGAAUUGUGGUUAGUUUGCCAUUGACGUUGAAGAGCACUGAAGAGGAGUUCAGAGAAUUGAUAAGGCAAGGGGGUGCAUAAGGGCGCUGAGGCAUACCCCGAUCCAUCUCUAGUAUGAUUGACUAAUUUAUGACGUGGUGUUGAGUAGGCGGAGGUCUUACCAUUUGGAAGAAGUUAGCUAAACAAGUCAUUGACCUCCACAUCAACAUUAAUUCAAACGACAUCCACCCGAUGAGUAAUGAAUGAUGAUGGAGUAAAGUUCAAUGGUUAAUAACACACUUUUGAAAUUCGUCGUGACAUGGUGCAAAGUUCAAUGGCCAUUGAAACAUUUAACUCAAUAAAACUCAGUGACUGUUAGCCUUAGAAGUUCCAUCAAUUUAGAAGAGUCUACAUGGAAAUUGUAAGAUGAUCCGAUAGAAAAUAUAAUCAGUGUAUGAGAAAACAAAGAUAUUAAUUGAUCAAAGCCAUCAUUUUAUCUUCAAAUUUCAGGCGAAGUAAAUGUAAGUAAUCGUUUUCAAAUUUAAAUAUCAUUCAUGUCAAUUCUUCCAAUAAAUCCAGUGAUUAGCUCUAGAAGUUCCAUCAAUUUAAAAGAGUCUACUUGGAAAUUAUCAUAGAAUCUCCAAUACAACCAUGGAUUGCUAAAAGAAAUUGUCACGUAAGAACAAACUGACGUGGCAAAGGGGAAAAAAAUUAUCAAGAGCUUCAUCUAAACUUAGCAAUUUUGUUAGACAUGCAGAAUUUUCAUUUCCUACAUACACUUAGAUGUGAUUUUAUUAUUGUUUUAAGAAAAUAAAAGAUAGUAUUAUUGGGUUGUAGGUGGAUCCAUUGGAGACUAAUUUUCUACUUAAGUAUCUAGAUAUCAAUAUCAUGUAGACCGAAAGUCUUUCAACUUGUAUGUCACCUAGAUAGCAAUCCAUAUAAUGUAUUGAAGAUGCUCUUAUGAGAUGAUCAAAUAGAAGAUAUGAUAUAUUCAUCGAGCAAAGCCAUCAUUUUAUCUUCAAAAUUCUGACAAAGUAAAUGCAAGUGAUCAUUUUUCAUUUUACUAUCAUUCACGUCAAAUUCACCCAGUAACACCAGUGACUAUGGCAACAAUAACAAAUAAAGGGGAAACUCGUCUACAAUCCAGAGCGUCUCACAUAUAAAUCCUCUUUUCAAUUUCUAGUUUUCAGAGCUAACAACUCCUGGAUCAAGACUCAACUAAUGAAGCACCACGAACACUUCCCACUCAAAUACCUCCCUCCCAUCAUCACCCUUUUUUAUUUUCGCUUCUCAGUUUCCAACUCUUUCAGAAAACCAACAAAGCAUACAAGGACAAUCGCAUGUUUGUACAUUACUCCAAACAGUUUGAACCUUAUAGCAAUUAAAAAUAUCACAUUUCUAAUCAUUCCCAAACCAGCAUAAUCAAAAGGGAAAUAAGAAAUUAAAAACAAUUCAGGAAUGGGAAAAAAAAGGGAAAAUCUCACCCGGUUCGAUAUAGAAGUUGGCAAAUUCUCAGAAUUAUCAUCGGGCUUCUCAUCAGUUGAGCUCAUCGUCGCCAAAUUUGAAUUGUCUCUAUUUUCUCCUUCACCAUUGGUAGCAUUAUUUUCAUUUCUGGUAUUAUUCUUAUCGUUAUAACAUGACCUUACAAUUAAAUUUAACCUGGUGCAAUUCCCUUUCGAAAUCAUUCGCCGCCUCUUCGAUAGUGAUGCUCCACACAAACAAAAAUUGGCGUUAAUAUUUUUUAUUUUCACUCUGAAAUUAAACCUGUUCGGAGGGUUCAAUCUAAAGCUACAGCUGGUGAGUGUUGCCAUUUAAUUCAAAUUAUUUGGCUUCUUAUGUGUGUAUGUAUAGCGUAAGUAUCUCCGCCAGGUUUUCUUUCAGAUUUUGAAGGUUUAGGUUUUCAAUGUCAAGUUUAGGGAAGAGAGUGGGAAGAAUGAUUUUUAGAGGUU